CCAAUAGCGUAUAUUAAAGUUGUUGCAGUUAAAAAGCUCGUAGUUGAAUUUCGGAGUUUGUCGGUUGGUCGGGCUUCACUGUCCGCACUGGCCUGAUGGAUUCCUACCUUCUGAAUAACCAGCAUGCUAUUAAGUUAGUGCGUUGGGGAAGCAGAGCUAUUACCUUGAAAAAAUUAGAGUGCUUAAAGCAGGCUUUUGCUUGAAUAGAUUAGCAUGGAAUAAUAAAAUAGGACGGCAUGGUUCUAUUUUGUUGGUUUCUAGGAUCACCGUAAUGAUUAAUAGGGAUAGUUGGGGGCAUUAGUAUUCAAUUGUCAGAGGUGAAAUUCUUGGAUUUAUUGAAGACUAACUUCUGCGAAAGCAUUUGCCAAGGAUGUUUUCAUUAAUCAAGAACGAAAGUUAGGGGAUCGAAGACGAUCAGAUACCGUCGCAGUCUUAACCAUAAACUAUGCCGACUAGGGAUCGGACGAUGUUAAUUUUUUAAUGACUCGUUCGGCGCCUUACA
rnacentral:rRNA from 1 species